rnacentral:rRNA from 1 species
GAACGGGUGAGUAACACGUGGGGAAUCUGCCUAUAAGUGGGGGAUAACAUUCGGAAACGGAUGCUAAUACCGCAUAUAUUCAAAAACCGCAUGGUUUCUGAAAGAAAGACGGCUUUGCUGUCGCUUAUAGAUGAUCCCGCGGCGUAUUAGUUAGUUGGUGGGGUAAUGGCCUACCAAGACCAUGAUACGUAGCCGACCUGAGAGGGUGAUCGGCCACACUGGGACUGAGACACGGCCCAGACUCCUACGGGAGGCAGCAGUAGGGAAUCUUCCACAAUGGGUGCAAACCUGAUGGAGCAAUGCCGCGUGAAUGAAGAAGGUCUUCGGAUCGUAAAGUUCUGUUAUUAGAGAAGAACAAGUCAAGGAGUAACUGCCUUGACUUUGACGGUACCUAACCAGAAAGUCACGGCUAACUACGUGCCAGCAGCCGCGGUAAUACGUAGGUGACAAGCGUUGUCCGGAAUUAUUGGGCGUAAAG